rnacentral:tRNA from 1 species
ACCUACAUAGUACAACGGUUAGUAUACUGGACUCUCACUCCAGAGAUUCGGGUUCAAUUCCCGGUGUAGGUA